rnacentral:rRNA from 1 species
GACGAACGCUGACGGUGUGCUUUAGACAUGCAAGUCGAACGAGAAAGCCCCUCGGGGUUAGUAAAGUGGCGAACGGGUGAGUAACACGUGGGCAAUCUGCCCCUCGCAGGGGGACAACCGGAGGAAACUCCGGCUAAUACCCCGUAAGUUCAAAGGGAGGCAUCUCUCUUCGAAGAAAGGUAGCUUCGGCCAUCCGGCGAGGGAUGAGCCCGCGGUGCAUUAGCUAGUUGGUGGGGUAACGGCCUACCAAGGCGACGAUGCAUAGCUGGUCUGAGAGGAUGAUCAGCCACACUGGGACUGAGACACGGCCCAGACUCCUACGGGAGGCAGCAGUCGGGAAUCUUGCGCAAUGGGCGAAAGCCUGACGCAGCAACACCGUGUGUGUGA